rnacentral:lncRNA from 1 species
CCCGGAGGUUCGGAGGUUGCACUACCUGGAGGUGUCCCAUGCCACCCUGCCCUGUCGUGGGCUCAGCAGGCUGAGCUGGUCACUUCCUGGUUCUCUUAGGCCCCUGGUUCCUCAACUUUCCAUCUAAAUUUCCUGGGGAAGGCUCCUUUACAAGAAAAUGAAAACUCAGAAGAAUAAGAACCUGCCCAGAAUCAGGCAGCUUGAAAGCAGGGGAGCCACGAUUCAGACUCCUGGCUUUGCUACCCUACCAGGCCAUAGAUGGACCACAGAGAG